GCAGCAGCAUGAGGAAGUCUCAAAGGCACAGAAAGAUGGAGAAAGAACUAAAGUUAGUCUUAGGAAAAAUAUGCUCAAAAGGAAGAGACUUAAUAUUUUUGACCUUAAGGCAGUUACCGAAGAGGCACCUGAAACAGAGACAGCACCUUCACCUUGGGACGUGGAAUUUGCGAAGCAGUUGGCCAUGGUAAAUGAACAGCCCCUUCAGAAUGGUUUUGCAGAGAUGAUCCAGUGGACCAAAGAGGGGAAGCUGUGGGAGUUUCCAAUUGACAGUGAAGCCAGGGCACCUGGGUGACUCAGUGGGUUACGCCUCUCUGCCUUCGGCUCAGGUCAUAAUCUGGGGGUCCUGGGAUCAAGCCCUGUGUUGGGCUUUCUGCUUAGUCGGGAGCCUGCUUCCCCCUCUCUCUCUGCCUGCCUCUCUGCCUGCUUGUGAUCUCUCUCUGUGUGUCCAAUAAAUAAAUAAAAUCUUUAAAAAUAAAUUAAAAAUAAAAAUAAUGUAUAGAUCUUUAAGUAUCCAAGUAAAAUUUUUAAAAUCUCUUUCAGUAAAUAUAAACUCACUCCAAGUGAGUGGAAAGCUUUUAAGCCUUUUAUUUUGAGAUAAUUGUAGAUUCACAUGCAACUGAAGAGAUAAUAAAUAUCCUAGAUAGCCUCUACCCAUUUUCUCCCAAUAGUUAACUUCCUGCAAAACCAAACCAUAGUACAGCCAAGCAAUUGGCAUUGAUAGAAUUCUCCAGCCGUGUACAGAUGUCAACCAGCUUUACAAGUAUUCCUUUAUACAUGUGUAUUUAGUUCUGUGCAAUUUUAUCACAUGUGUAGACUCAGGAGACCACCACCACGGUCAAGAUACAUGGUUCCAUCAUCUCAGAGCCCUCUUAGAGCCCUUCUAAGCCACACCUGCUUACCUUCCACUGCCUCCCCUUCUUAAUCCUGGAUCCCUGGCAAUCACUAAAUUUGUUCACUAUUUUUGUAAUUUUGUCAUAAGAAGUAUAUACAAAUAGAAUCAUAGAGUGUGUAACCUUUGGGAAUUAACUGUUUUUCACUCAGCCUGAUUAAUUACCUGGAAAUUUAGCCAAUUGUCCUAUGUAUCAGUAUGUUUGUGCCUUGUUUUUUGUUGUUUGGUUGGUUGAGGGUUUUUGUUUGUUUUUUAAUUGAGUCCAUGAUUUGAAUGUGCCCUAUAGUUUGUUUAACCAUUCACCUGGUAAAAGACAUCUGGGUUGUUUGGGGCUAUUAUGAAUAAAGGUACUAUAAAUAUUUUUGUACAGAGUUUUAUAUGAAUAUAGAUUUCUAUUUCCUUGGGGUAAAUACCCAGGAGUGAAAUUGUUUCAUCAUAUGGUAGCUGCAUGUUUAGUUUUUCUUUUCUUUUUUAUUUUCUUAAGGUUUUUUUAUUUAUAAUAUCUACACCCAACAUGGGGCUCAAACUCACAACCCCAAGAUCAAGAUCACAUGCUCUACCAACUGAGCCAGCGGGGCGCCCUACAUGUUUAGCUCUGUGUUUUUUUUUUUUUCUCUUUGAAGAUUUUACUUAUUUGUUCAUUUGAGAGAGAGAGAAAGAAAGUGAGAGUGCAGCAUGAGCCAGGGGAAGGACAGGAAGAGAGAAAGGGAGAAGGAGACUCCCUGCCCAGGGCUUGGGAGGAGCCUGACACACUGCUUCAUCCCAGGGCCCUGAGAAGACCUGAGCUGAAGUUAGACUCUUAACCAACUGAGCCACCCAGGGAUCCCCUGCGUGUUUAAUUUUUUUUAAAGAAGCUUCCAAACUGUUUCCUAGAGUGGCUGUGCCAUUUUAUAUUCUCACCAGCAAUAUGUGAACCAUCAGGCUUCUCAUUCUCACCAGCAUUUGAUGUUGUGGCUGUUUUUCUUUUAGAUAUGUUUACAUUCUGAUAGAUGUGUAUUGAUAGCUCAUUGUGGUUUUAAUCUGCAUUUCCCUAAUGGGUCAAUAGGUUGACCACAUUUUUCUUGUGUGUGUUUGCCAUUUAUUUAUCUUUUUCAGUGAAAUGUCUGUUCUUCUUUUUUGCCCAUUCUCUAAUUGGAUUGUUUGGUUUUCUUACUAUAGAGCUUUGGGAGGUUGUUGUUGUUUAUAUUUAAUACAUUCUAGACCUUUUAAAUCUUUCCUUGCAUUGAGGCACCUGGGUGGCUCAGUCGGUUAAGCAUCCGACUUUUGAUUGCAGCUCAGGUCAUGAUCUCAGGGUUGUGAGAUCAAGCCCCUAAAGGAGGGAUCAGGGAUCCACUGUUAAAACUUCAUUUAACUUUAACUACCUCCUGAAAGGUCCUGUCUCUAAAUAUAGUCACAUUGGGGAUUAGGACCUCAACCUAUCAAUUUUGAGGAGAUAGGAUUCAGUCCAUAACAGGGUCUAUUUCUGGGCCGUCGCUUUUGUCCCAUCAAUCUGUGUGUCUGUCCCAAUACCACACUUUUGAUUAUUGUAGCUAUUUCAGUAAAUCUUAGCAUUAUUGCUCCCAUUUUAUUCUUCUCUUUCAAGAUUGUUAAACUAUUCUCAGACUUAUGCCUUUCCAUAUAAAUUUUAGAAUAAAUUUGUUGGCAAAACUUUACUGAGAUUUUGAUAGGAACUAGUAUUGGUUUUGUUGAUUUUUCUCUAUUUUUCUAUUCUUAUUGAUGUUGGAUGUUAUCUUUAUUAUUUCCUUCCUUUGCUUGCUUUAGAAUUAUUUAGCUCUUUUGCUAGUUCUUUUUCCUCCCCCUAUAUGUGCCAUAACUUACAGAAGACUUCAGCGGGUCCUCCCAGCACCACCAACCCCCGCCCUGAGUUCCAGCUGGGGUUGAGCCUCUCCGGAGUCCUCCGGGAACCUGGACAAAGGGAAGCAACACCGGGGGCCCGGGCUCCCUGUCCUCCAGGUCCUCCAGCUCGCGGGCGCGCGGGCCAGGGGUCCCGUGACCUGCGCGGGGCCGAGUGCGCCGCCUAAGCCGCGGACUUCCGCUUCCCCGCGCCGGCCCCGCGCUGCCAGCCCCCCGCCGCAGGGGAGCUCCGGGCCCCGGGGGCCGCCGCCCUUUGCGCUCCCCCGCGGGUGGGCGGGGCGGAGAGCCGGCCCGUGGCGGACGUGGGUGUUAAGCGGCUGCCCCGGCUGCGGAGGCAGAGCGGCGAGGCGGCGGCGGAGCCCGAGCAGCACGCGCGGCCAACUGUCCUGGCGGGAGAACUGAUCUCCCAGCUCCCACAGGUUCACAUCCCAGUAACCAGGCAGCAGUUCUAGAGAAAGGCUGCAGAGGCUUCACUGAUGGUGAGCUCUGGUCUCCUUUCAGGGAUAUGAGACACCCGUCAUAAGCUCCGGAGAGUUGCCUUCCACAGAGACCAGCAGAGGAGUGUGCCAACAUGAAGUCCAGUCCUGCCAUCCAAGCUGCCAUUGACCUCACAGCGGGGGCUGCAGAUUUUAUCUAUUUACUGAGCAUAAGCAGGGGGAUCAGCAGACCGAGGGAGAGGGAGAAGCUGUCUCCCCACUGAGCAGGAGCCCAAUGAGGGGCUCGACCCAACCGUGGGAUCAGGACCUGAGCUAUCCAGGUGCCUGACGGGGCACCUCUUUUGACACCUUGAAAGUGAAGAUGCAGACGUUCCCUGACCUGUACCGGGGCCUCACCGACUGCUGCCUGAAGACCUACUCCCAGUUGGGCUUCCGCAGCUUCUACAAGGGGACCAGCCCAGCGCUGAUCGCCAACAUCGCUGAGAACUCGGUCCUCUUCAUGUGCUACGGCUUCUGCCAACAGGUGGUGUGGAAGGUGGUUGGAUUGGAGAAGCAGGCCAGGCUGAGCACAGUCUGGUCCGUGGGGAAGAGCGUCGUCAGGAAGGACUGCCCCUUGGGCUUCUACCACGGCCUCUCCAGCACCUUACUCUGAGAGGUGCCCGGCUAUUUCCUCUUCUUUAGCGGCUCCGAGCUGAGCAGGUCGUUUUUUGCAUCAGGAAGAGCGAAGGAUGAGCUAGGCCCUGUCCCUUUGAUGUUAAGCGGUGGAGUUGGUGGGAUCUGCCUCUGGCUUGCUGUAUACCCAGUGGAUUGUGUCAAAUCCAGAAUUCAAGUUCUUUCCAUGUCUGAAAAACAGGCAGGAUUUAUCGGAACCUUUAUAAGCAUUGUGAAAAAUGAAGAAACCCUUCCUGGGAGCAGAGUGCCAAAGCCAAGAGAAGCCCUUGUUCCCUGUCUGGUGCCUGAAGGACAGUGCUCGCGGGCAAGGUCCUCUUUCAGAUUGAACUGGACAGAACCGAGGCCUUGUCCUCCACAAGAUCACAAGUAGGCAGAGAGGCAUGCAGAGAGAGGGAGAAGCAGGCUCCCUGCCGAGCAGAGAGCAGAGAGCCAGAUGUGGGGCUGGAUCCCCAGACCCUGGGAUCGUGACCUGAGCUGAAGGCAGAGGCUUUAACCCACUGAGACUCCCAGGUACCCCUUAAAUAGUAUUUUUAAUCUUAUAUUUAGCUUAUGAAAAAUGAGAGUAUUUGCCAUUGUCAUUACUCUGAACAUGAGUGUGUAACUUCUGCUGAGAAGUCACAAAGUGUACAAGUGUUAUUCUUUACAUAACAAAUUUCUCAGCUUCAGUGGUUUUGUUUUCCUAUUGAAAUCAUCAAGCAGAACUGCCAACAACUAACAGUGUUGAUCAAGUUAAAGUUUGUGCCCCCCUCCAUCCUCUGCUUGCUCCCCGUUAUGGGAGAAUCUGUUCAGUAGUGAAAUGGUAGGUGUGUGGAAGCAAGUGACCUCGGUGGUUCCCAUACCAGAUGGCUCCCCUUUGAUCCCUGAAGCCGGUCUGAACACUCGCUCAGUCAGUGGUCCGAAGCAGGAGCUCCACUACAAGAAGUACUGGCCUGGGCAUUGUUGCUUAAUUUUGUGAUUUUCAAGGGCCAUGAGAUGAAAACUCUCUCAUGUGUGGGUAUUCUUGUCAUUAAUACUGACAGUCAACUAUCAGUGUAACUGCUGCUUGUGGAAAUGGAUGAGGUCUUUGGACAUAAAGUGGCAUCGGCCUCCGGUCAGCACGAUGUAAACUAGGUUGGAGGACUAUUGUCUAAUUUAUAUAGAAAAAAACUACCUUUCCUUAAAUUUUGAUAGGAAUGGCAAGAAAAAGCCAUUUCUUAAAGUCUCCUUUGUGUUGUGAGCGGAGGGUUAUAGAGGUUAAGUGCUGUGUGUCUAAGGGCUCUAAUUGUUCAACGUAUAUAGAAAGGAGGGAAAAGGAGGAAUUUUAAUCUCUUUGGAAUUAGUUUUUAGUAUCAUUUUUACUACGAAAGUUAACUUUUUUUUUUUUUUUAAUUUUAGGAUCUUCCUAAAUAUGACAACUGUCCAUUUUUAUUUUGGUUCCAUACAUCUUUUGUACAAAAUAACAGAUGCCGGGACACACUACGAAGCUCAGUUUUAAAGUUGGCAUUCACAUUCAAAAAACAGUAUGUGAUUGGUCAUGUUUUAUUAAAAAGGUGCUUGCUGAUAGUCUCAUAGGCCUUGUCCAUAGCCAACUACUGGAUGGAGUGACCAAAGAUUGGCCAUGUUUCUGGAAUGAAGGACUUUGGGGCUAUCCUGAGUAUUUCUUUGUAACUGAUUGGCCCUUGCACAGUAGUGCAAGUGUGUGUGCAAGGAUUUGUAUACACGAGGAGCUCUGAAAGAGAACGCUCUGCAGACUGGGUGGUGUGGGGGAGGGAGAGGAAAGACAUGGAACACAUGAAACAGAAAUGAGAGUGUUGAGUCCCAAGGGCCAGAAGGCACCCCGUCUACCUGGAAUGGAGUCUGUAGGUCAAGUUACUGAAGGAAACAAGCUCAGGUCUCAGGUAGGAUAGGAAAAUAUCUUAAAAGGUUCAAGAGCCAGGA